UACGUAGGGUGCGAGCGUUAAUCGGAAUUACUGGGCGUAAAGCGUGCGCAGGCGGCGCGUUAAGACAGGUGUGAAAGCCCCCGAGCUUAACUUGGGAAUUUGCGCUUGUGACUGGCGUGCUGGAGUGUGGCAGAGGGAGGUGGAAUUCCACGUGUAGCAGUGAAAAUGCGUAGAGAUGUGGAGGAACACCGAUGGCGAAGGCAGCCUCCUGGGCCAGCACUGACGCUCAUGCACGAAGCGUGGGAGCAACAGG
rnacentral:rRNA from 1 species